AUUGAACGCUGGCGGCAGGCCUAACACAUGCAAGUCGAACGAGUGGCGGACGGGUGAGUAAUGUCUGGGAAACUGCCCGAUGGAGGGGGAUAACUACUGGAAACGGUAGCUAAUACCGCAUACCAUCGGAUGUGCCCAGAUGGGAUUAGCUAGUAGGUGGGGUAAAGGCUCACCUAGGCGACGAUCCCUAGCUGGUCUGAGAGGAUGACCAGCCACACUGGAACUGAGACACGGUCCAGACUCCUACGGGAGGCAGCAGUGGGGAAUAUUGGACAAUGGGCGAAACCCUGAUCCAGCCAUCCCGCGUGUGCGAAGAAGGCCUUCGGGUUGUAAAGCACUUUCGGCAGGAAGGCGGUACCUGCAGAAUAAGCACCGGCUAACUCCGUGCCAGCCGCCGCGGUAAUAC
rnacentral:rRNA from 1 species